GACAUAGGGUGCAACCGUUGCUCGGAAUCACUGGGCGUAAAGGGCGCGUAGGCGGGAAUGUAAGUCGGGCGUGAAAUCCCCAGGCUCAACCUGGGAACUGCACUCGAAACUGCGUUUCUUGAGUAUCGGAGAGGAAAGCGGAAUUCCUGGUGUAGAGGUGAAAUUCGUAGAUAUCAGGAGGAACACCAGUGGCGAAGGCGGCUUUCUGGACGGUAACUGACGCUGAGGCGCGAAAGCGUGGGGAGCAAACAGG
rnacentral:rRNA from 1 species